CUUUUUUUUUUUUUUUUUUUUUUUUUUGUCUUUUGUCUUUUUAGGGCCGCACUAGCAGCAUAUGGAGGUUCCUGGGCAAGGGGUCUAAUUGGAGCUGUUAUUGCUGGCCUAUGCCAGAGCCACGGCAAUGCCAGAUUCGAGCCACGUCUGCAACCCACAUCACAGCUCACAGCAACGCUGGAUCCUUAACCUACUGAGCAAGGCCAGGGAUCAAACCAGCAACUUCAUGGUUCCUAGUCAGAUUCAUUAACCACUGAACCACAAAGGGAACUCUGCAAGUGAAUUUUUAUAUUGUAGAUCAUUCUCCUUAAGCCUGUUUUUGCAUUAUCAUUGCAUUUUCCUCAGUUCCCCUCUACAGUCAUAUGAAUCUAUUUGUGGUUCUUUUAUUUCAUAGAUAUUAUAUGCACGAUUGUUUACUGUAAUAGGAUGGUGGAUUCCACAAGGAAUUUUGUCCUUGUAUUUUAGUUUACUUGUAUUUUUCUCCACCCUCUAUAGCAUUGGGAUGGAUUUGAUAAUAUUCAAUUUCCUUAAUUAUAUCAUUACUAAAGAUACAGAAACUGGACCAAGUAUGAGACAAGGUCCAGAGAGUUCAACAGUACAGGCGGUGUCAAAGAUGAAGAGACUUUGAGACUUGCUGGAAUGUGAUUAAAAUCUUCAGGAACCACUCAAAACUGUGAUGCUCAGAGAAAGGAAAAGACAAAAGAUCACUCUGUAUAGGAACAUGAUUGUGUUACUUCAAUUUUCACAAUCUUUCAGUUAGUUUACAUAGUACUGAUGUAUAUUAUAAGCUAUUACUUACAACAAGUCUGCUAUUAAUGUCCAAACUUUUAAACUGAAGCUGGAAUAGAAAAAAAAAAAAAACAUUAGAAUGGGGAGCUCCCAUUGUGGCACAGCCAAAAUGAAUCCAACUAGGAACCAUGAGGAAGAGAGAGGCAUACUGUAUGGUAAAUGUAAUUCUUUGAAAGCAAAGUUAUAAAACAGAAAGAAAACUAACCCAGUAUUAAUUUUUUAUUAAAUGUCACUCACAUUAUGCCUAUUUAAGGGUAGGUUUUCCAGUUUAAUACAGGGACACAAUGUUCUAUAUAAUGAAUACUUAAGGGAUGAUGAUGACAAAAAAAGUUCUUAACAGUUUUUGCUGUUAAGUUUAUUAGAUUUUUCACUCAAAGAUACUCACAGACAUAUAUAAGAGACGAGUUUUUUUUAACUGUACAACAUGAUGACUUACUUUUCAUUAAAUGAAACUGGAUCAUCAUAAAAGCCUUCAACCUCAUUGUCUUCAUGUAGAGUAGAUUGAGGAGGAAGAAGAGGGGACUGGUCUUGCUGUCUCAGAGGUUGCAGGGAAGGCAGGAGAGGCAGGCACACUGUGUAAAUUUACACAAAUACAUCAUAAUUUUUUCCUGAUUUUUGGUUUUCCAUUUCUCUAAAACUGUUCCAUACAGUACCAAUUCUUCUUCUACCAUUUGCUUUAGGUUCAGCACCCAUAUCAUAGGAGGGUCCACAUUGUGAAGUCAAAAGUAAUCUUGAAUAGUUGAAACUUUAUGCUAGAUUGCCUAACAUCAAUUUGUUUUCUGGCAUUGCUUCUACAUCUUCUCCCUCAUCGUCUGGCACUGGUUCAGAAGCAUUCAUAUCCAUCAACCUGUCAUCUGUUAAUUCCUCCAGUGUGGUGUCUACUAGCUCUUGAAUUUCUCUAAGAUCCAUAUCCUGAAACACAGACCCACGCUUUUUUUUUUUUUUUUUUUUUUUUUUGCCAUAUCCACAAUUAUUUUCACGAUUUCGUUGACUGGC
rnacentral:lncRNA from 1 species